rnacentral:rRNA from 1 species
CCUACGGGUGGCUGCAGUGAGGAAUAUUGGUCAAUGGGCGCAAGCCUGAACCAGCCAUCCCGCGUGAAGGAAGAAGGCGCUAUGCGUUGUAAACUUCUUUUCCAGGGGGAGAAUUUUCCGGUCGUGACCGGGAUUGACGGUACUCUGGGAAUAAGCAUCGGCUAACUCCGUGCCAGCAGCCGCGGUAAUACGGAGGAUGCGAGCGUUAUCCGGAUUUAUUGGGUUUAAAGGGUGCGUAGGCGGAUCAAUAAGUCAGUGGUGAAAUUCUGCAGCUUAACUGUAGACUUGCCAUUGAUACUGUUGGUCUUGAGUAUGGUCAAGGUAGGCGGAAUGUGUAAUGUAGCGGUGAAAUGCUUAGAUAUUACACAGAACACCGAUUGCGAAGGCAGCUUGCUGGGCCAAUACUGACGCUGAUGCACGAAAGCGUGGGGAUCGAACAGGAUUAGAUACCCUGGUAGUC